ACCUCCACCAUUGCGAAAUGGUAUGGAACUUACCGUGGGGAUACGACUAUACGAUAUGAAGACCCGAAUGUGAGAGCGAAUGUGAGAAUGGAUGCACGGAUGAAUUAGGUGAAACCAACCUUGAGCGUCACAAAUUUUCUGCCAUCCACCAGGUUUAUUGGUUCAUUUAACUUUUUGAAAUCCUACAAAAACAAGCUAGCGGUUGAAUACUUCCAUGAGUAUGCAACUUUAGGCGCAGCAGUUACCCUAAACUACUUUCUCCCCAUUGACGUUUCAGCAGUUUUUGGUACGCCCUGGAUUAAUUUUGGGGGUGAGGCUACAUAUUCGGUGUUCAAUGGGACUUGGGACAAAUACAGUGUUGGUGUAAGCUGGGCGACGCAACAACACUCCGCUCUCUCCUUCACUCUGCUGGACAAAGGAGAGACUCUAAGGGUGUUAUAUUGGCAUCCUAUAGGGCAGAUGAAGAAGGGAGCAGUGGCAGGUGAGGUCAAAAGAAGGAUCGCCACAAAGGAAUCCAAGCUAACAAUAGGAUGCGCAUAUGCAAUUAAUCCUCACACACUGAUAAAGGUCAGGAUGAACCAGUAUGGCUAUUUUGGGGCUGCACUGAAACAGGAGGUCCAACCAAAUACCUUUUUCACAAUUUCUGGCACCUUCGAACUCCAGGCCUUGAGGAAGGCUCCCCGGAUUGGGGUGGCACUCGAGCAUAAGGGUUGAAUGCUACCGGAUUUGGUGGUGGGGAUUAAAUUUUUUUUUUUGGUCGGGUUACAGAAAGAGAGCUAACCUCUCACUCCCUCCUAAUCAAUUUUGGCCGCCUCCCUCACUACAUUUUCUUGAAUGCGGUUGUUUGAUGCACAAAA